rnacentral:lncRNA from 1 species
CAGAUCUACAGAUUUAGUAUCUAUAGAAGUAUGACAAGCAGUCUAUCCUAAAGAAUCUUUCCGGAGGUUCUCCGCACAGCCUUUCGUUCUCAGGCCGUUACUGCUCCCAAAGCAGCAGGAGGCAGAACUCCAAAAGCUUCCUUUGGCUUGAAGCAAUCUCUUCUGUUCCACCUGGACCUGAAUAGAGGAGCAAGACAAGCCUGUGACUCCAUGUUGAUGCUGUCCAAAUGCAGAUAUCAAAGCCUGUGGCAUAUUCCCUAAAUCUCCACUGUAACCG